rnacentral:rRNA from 1 species
GCGCGAAACCUUUACACUGCGCGACAGCGCGAUAGGGGGAUCCCAAGUGCGAGGGCAUACAGUCCUCGCUUUUUCCUACCGUAAGGUGGUAGGCGAAUAAGAGCUGGGCAAGACCGGUGCCAGCCGCCGCGGUAAUACCGGCAGCUCGAGUGAUGGCCACUAUUAUUGGGCCUAAAGCGUCCGUAGCCGGCUAGACAGGUCCGUCGGGAAAUCCACUCGCUCAACGGGUGGGCGUCCGGCGGAAACCAGCUAGCUUGGGACCGAGCGACCUGAGGGGUACGUCCGGGGUAGGAGUGAAAUCCCGUAAUCCCGGACGGACCAUCGGUGGCGAAAGCGCCUCAGGAGAGCGGAUCCGACGGUGAGGGACGAAAGCUAGGGUCUCGAACCGGAUUAGAUACCCCCGUAGUCC